GAUGCGACCUCAGCUNCAGGCGGGGCUACCCGCUGAGUUUAAGCAUAUCAAUAAGCGGAGGAAAAGAAACUAACAAGGAUU
rnacentral:rRNA from 1 species